rnacentral:lncRNA from 1 species
GGAAGAAUCACAUGAUCAGUGGUGUAGAUGCCUGUUAUCUGAGAACCUGGAGCUGCCAGGAACUCCGAAGACCCUCGCUCAUAAGCAGUGUUUCCGUCUACCGUGCACUUUAAUUUUAAAAAGUUACUCUAUCAAUAAAAGAGGAAUUUGGUCCAAAUGGAAAGUGUAAAUGUAGAUAAUCUGUGUCAACCUAUAUUUCAGUAAUUGCACAAUAAAGUCAGGAAUCCUGUUACACUUUUUAAGCACAAUUUUUGUAGAUCUUAGUAGACUGAUUUUGCUGUUUUGUUUCAGACUAAGCUUCACUUCCAGGCCCUGGCACCACAACAUGAGAAGAUCAGAUGGGGACUGGAAACCAAGACUAAGGCCUCAGGACACUGCUAUGGUCCGUGAGAACUCUCAUCUAUUCACAACAAAAACAAAAAACAAAAUAGAAAAGACUAUAGUACCUUCAAAAAAACAAAAAAUGUGAAGAGUGUCCGAGGAGAAAAUACUCUACAAUGUCUUCAGGCAGAUUCAUGCUUUGGGCUAAAUUCUAUCCUUAGAUGUGCAUAGGUCACUCCAGUUGGAAUCCUCACCAGUUCAGAAUUUGGCCCUGUGGUUUUGAUUUGAUAUAGGCUGUUGUGAUGGAAUUUGAGUUUUUCUGUAACAAUGUAUGUCUACUGUGUUGAUCUGAUUAUUGGGAUGUUUAGUGUAUGAAUAUAUUAGUUUAGUUUAACAGGGGGCUGUAAGGAAAAACAAGCAGGUAAGAAAGAAUGACCUGAGGUAAGCCACACAUCACCAAACACUUGAGGGUUGUUACAGGACAAUGUCUGAACUGUCCACUUUGACUAUUUUUACUGCCAACCUGAACAACUGGUUUGUCCAGAAGAGCCAAAUCCCAGAAGAACAAAAGACUGUAGCAGUUUAAAAAGAAAUUCUCAAGAGAGCGGCGAAUUGUUCAAGGGAAUCAGACUGAGACACGUGACAUCCCACUAGGGUGUCUAAAGAAGUUAGGCCUGCCUAGGUAUCAUCAAGGGAUGGCAAGUCUUUAGGUAAGAGAUAUACGUGUGUGGACUGUUUGGCGUUUUAAAAUCCUUUUUCUCUUAUGCUUUGUUCAUUUUGUGAAAUAAUACUUUGGUUUUAAGUAGGCUGCACUAGAGCUGGUUAGAAAAAAGCUGAUUUUUCUGUAAAAAAAAACAAACAACAAUUGAGAUUAAAAAAAAAAUUGUUCCAAAUUGGGAUCAAAAGCCAAAAUUCUUGGAAUUAUUUUCUUAAAUAAAAUUCCAAAAAGAAUUGAUUUCA